rnacentral:rRNA from 1 species
AAUGGGCGGAAGCCUGAUCCAGCAAUGCCGCGUGUGUGAAGAAGGCCUUAGGGUUGUAAAACACUUUCGGCAGGGAAGAAGUAUUAAUUGAUAAUACCAGUUGAUUUUGACGUUAACUGCAGAAGAAGUACUGGCUAACUCUGUGCCAGCAGCCGCGGUAAUACAGAGAGUGCGAGCGUUAAUCGGAAUUAUUGGGCGUAAAGGGUGUGUAGGUGGAUGAAUUAGUUGGAUGUGAAAUCCCUACGCUUAACUUAGGAACUGCAUUUGAUACUUGUUAUCUAGAGUAUUGUAGAGGAAAGUAGAAUUUCCGGUGUAGCGGUGAAAUGCGUAGAUAUCGGAAGGAAUACCAGAAGCGAAGGCGACUUUCUGGCCAAAUACUGACACUGAGACACGAAAGCGUGGGGAGCAAA